rnacentral:rRNA from 1 species
UGCAGUCGANCGGUAACGCGGGGCAACCUGGCGACGAGUGGCGAACGGGUGAGUAAAGCAUCGGAACGUGCCCAGUAGUGGGGGAUAGCCCGGCGAAAGCCGGAUUAAUACCGCAUACGACCUACGGGUGAAAGGGGGGGAUCGCAAGACCUCUCGCUAUUGGAGCGGCCGAUGUCAGAUUAGGUAGUUGGUGGGGUAAAGGCCUACCAAGCCUGCGAUCUGUAGCUGGUCUGAGAGGACGACCAGCCACACUGGGACUGAGACACGGCCAGACUCCUACGGGAGGCAGCAGUGGGGAAUUUUGGACAAUGGGCGCAAGCCUGAUCCAGCCAUGCCGCGUGCGGGAAGAAGGCCUUCGGGUUGUAAACCGCUUUUGUCAGGGAAGAAAAGCCUUGGGUUAAUACCCUGGGGUGAUGACGGUACCUGAAGAAUAAGCACCGGCUAACUACGUGCCAGCAGCCGCGGUAAUACGUAGGGUGCAAGCGUUAAUCGGAAUUACUGGGCGUAAAGCGUGCGCAGGCGGUUGUGCAAGACAGGUGUGAAAUCCCCGGGCUUAACCUGGGAACUGCACUUGUGACUGCACGGCUUGAGUGCGGCAGANGGGGAUGGAAUUCCGCGUGUAGCAGUGAAAUGCGUAGAUAUGCGGAGGAACACCGAUGGCGAAGGCAAUCCCCUGGGCCUGCACUGACGCUCAUGCACGAAAGCGUGGGGAGCAAACAGGAUUAGAUACCCUGNUAGUCCACGCCCUAAACUAUGUCAACUGGNUNGUUGGGAGGGNUUCUUCUCAGUAACGUAGCUAACGCGUGAAGUUGACCGCCUGGGGAGUACNGGCCGCAAGGUUGAAACUCNAAGGAANUGACGGGGACCCGCACAAGCGG